rnacentral:snRNA from 1 species
AGCUUUGUGCAGUAGCAGUAUUGUAGCCAAUGAGGUUUAUCCAAGGCACGAUUAUUGCUAAUUGAAAACUAUUGUAGGAAAUUUUAAGUAGACAUUUAACAGUGUGAUUCCAUA